rfam:Lucheng Rn rat coronavirus isolate Lucheng-19, complete genome
UGAGUGAGAUGCUCUUAUGUUAGCAUGCUAAUAUAAGACACUAGUGUACAGAAUCAUUACCACGUCUAUAGUAGGGUACACAUAACUAUCUAUAGAUAUAGAAAGCCUAGAUGAACAGGACGAAAGACUAGUGACAUUGCAGGAGUAUCUAAAGAUCGCAAGACGAGCCAUGUCUGCCAGUGAGUAGAAUGGAAGAGCCUGUAGUGCCCCUUUUCGGAAGUCCCUAGUAGUUAUGUUAAUCUAAAUAGGGGAUCUUUGAGGGUGGGAUGC